rnacentral:lncRNA from 1 species
UGGCAGUUCUGGUGUCGACGAAUUGAACAAUGGACUCAUUCUCAGGCAUCGGGCCGACGUACAGAAGCAACACGGGGAGAAAUACGAACCCGAAUCCGAAGGAAAAGGUAAGGACCUGAGACGGAAAAAAAGCAGAGGAACGUGCAAAGUGAGAGGGAUAACUGCCGUGUUCUGUUGCAGACACAGUAGGUUGAUACAGCGAACAGAAGGUGGCAUCUAGGGAGGCAGAACGCAAAACAAUUACGCUCGUCGAUCUGGAUCGAAUGAGGAACGGAGCGGUUCUGAGAGGAAAGUGGACGGUGAUUCAAAGUCGGCGAGCCGAAGGAUUGAAGCUGCAACAAUACACAGGCAACCCGAUGUGUGCGAGAGAAUGGAAUGUGGUUUCCGACAGAAGAAACACAGCGUCUUUGUAGAGGAGGGACAGAGAAACGCGACAGAAGGACAGAAGACCCAUUCGGGAUAAUCACCAAAGCAAAGCGAAGAAGCCGUUGCCUGAACAUUUCCGUAAGAGAAACGAGCGACUGGGGGAUCCUCGGCUCCUGAACGAAGUGGGGACCGUGGAUUCUUAGGACUACAAGAACGCGAUCGCCGGCAGAAUGUGUCGUCCGGCAGAAGAGAGGGAAGGAUUUGAAAGGCAUUCGAUACCGGCAAGAAACGCCGUUUUCCUACCAAGAUCAUCAUUUUGAAAAAGACUGCCAGAACGAAUUUGUCGGAGCCCAUAAGAAAGAAGACAGCAAGCAGGGUCGAAAGCAUCCCGUUCGCAAUGGCGUUUCCCAUUAAAACCAUAGUCUCCUUCAUUCGGUCUCUCCGUGUCUGUCCGCAGCAGUGUGUGAAAGCGUUCAGAACGUGUGUCGUGCUGUCAACACUGUAACCUAGAAACAAGAGAAACACGGCGGGAAGGCGCGAAGGUUCGCUUUCCUUGAAGAACAGCCGGGAAGAAAGAAGGCAGCCAAAUACGGAUCGGAGAGAGAAAAACGAAAAACAGAUACAUGGGAGAGCAAAGCAAAGACACAGCAAUGAUACCGAAAUAGAGGGACCGACAGACAUAUAGACACAUAUAGACGUAACACAAACACAGCCACACGUGCAAGGCGAAGCCAGAGAGGCCGACACGGACAACAAGGCAGCUUUUGUCUCGCAAGUUUUCGAAUGCCCUCCCUGGCUCUUGCACACUUACCAAUUGCAAGAAGCAGAAUCACCAUGGUGAGCAUGUUGAGGCGCAGGCCCCAGAUGGCCAUAAACCCAAAGAGUGCCAUAUCCACGAAGAAGACUGUGACAGCCACGAUGAUCAUGGAUAAGAAGUUGGGAAUCAGUAAAACAGUCAUCUGCGCAGGACGAAGGAGAGGCAGAACACACAAGGAAAGAAACUGUGGCCCGACAACAGCAAUACCGGUGAUUUCAGAAGAAUGGACGGGGUUUUGAAACGAUGAUUCCACCGCGGUGAGGUCGACAUGAGUGAGGCUCUGACCCCCAGCGUCAACCACUUAAGCUGCUUGACACUUUCGAUCACAAGCGACACGCGCAGCCCUCAGCAGAACAGUUGCAUGGGGAGACAGUAUUCAGCAUUUGCCAAGUCACGGAGCACAGAGAACAUGUGCAACAGAUGCAGAUGAAUACAAAAACAGUAGAUAUGGAUGUGCACAGGCAUACCUGUAGAGGC